rnacentral:rRNA from 1 species
GAUGAACGCUAGCGGGAGGCCUAACACAUGCAAGCCGAGCGGUAUUGUUUCUUCGGAAAUGAGAGAGCGGCGUACGGGUGCGGAACACGUGUGCAACCUGCCUUUAUCUGGGGGAUAGCCUUUCGAAAGGAAGAUUAAUACUCCAUAAUAUAUUGAACGGCAUCGUUUAAUAUUGAAAGCUCCGGCGGGUAGAGAUGGGCACGCGCAAGAUUAGCUAGUUGGUGAGGUAACGGCUCACCAAGGCGAUGAUCUUUAGGGGGCCUGAGAGGGUGAUCCCCCACACUGGUACUGAGACACGGACCAGACUCCUACGGGAGGCAGCAGUGAGGAAUAUUGGUCAAUGGGUGCAAGCCUGAACCAGCCAUCCCGCGUGAAGGACGACUGCCCUAUGGGUUGUAAACUUCUUUUGUAUAGGGAUAAACCUACCCUCGUGAGGGUAGCUGAAGGUACUAUACGAAUAAGCACCGGCUAACUCCGUGCCAGCCGCCGCCGUAAUAC